UGUGAAGGUUGACGCGGUGCCAGUUUUGGUGCAAAGAUGGUUAUCACCAAAUUUCGAUGUGGAUUCGGUGACUUGAUUGAUUAAAAUACAGAAGAAUCUUUCUCAACCGAUGAUAUGAAAUCUGCUUUCCUCCCCAAGAUGUGGAUGCCAAACAUCACCAUCAAGAACUUAUCUACGUCGACUUGUUCUUUACCACCUCCGUCCCAAAAAGACCUCUCCAAAAGGAUACGAAAAUAGACCAAGUAAAAGUCCUUUCGGCAUUAUCUCAUUUAUUUUACUGUCAUUUUCAGGUAUUCCAUGUUUUGAUGUGGACAUGAAUAAGCAACUAAGCAAGUAAAUUUCUUUG